UUACACAGUGAAAGAUUAUUUAUCUGUUAAUAAAUGAAAUAUAAAUUUUGCAAGUAAAUGGAUGAAGCUAUAAAAAUCAUUCAUAGUGAAAUAACACAAAAUACAAAGAAAAAUAUUUUUAGUUUUCUCUCACAUGUGGGUGUUAACUUUUAAAAAUCUAUGGACACUUCAAGAGAAAUAAUCACAGACAUUAAGUAGAUAGAAAUAUAUAAACGAAGGAGUUCUAAUGAAGAAAAAUAUAAUAUAGUAUAUAAUCAAGACACUAAAAUACAAGGAUUAAAUGAGAUGAGAUGGAAAGAAAGUGUAAGGAGGAUAAUGCGGAAAGAUAGCUAACACUGACAUCCUUUUUGCAAAGUCAUAUAGAAGUUUAAUACUGUAGAAAGUUCCUAAAAUAUAUAAAUAUGAGAAAGGAAAUUAAGUGGAAUAACCAUAUAAGAGGGAAACAAUUCCUCAUCUGGUUUGCAUUUUUUUUAAGUUGUUUGCUAAAAUGGUCAGAUGUCCUCUCCCUACCUGAAACAUUGCCAGGGCUAUUGGUUACUCUUCAUGAUCUAAUGGCAAGGCCCCAUUACUUAGUCCACAAUUAUUUAUGUCAUCAAUGAGGUAAAAUGAAGCUAUAGUGGCCAAAUAGAGCUUCACCUGUACUUACUGUUUUUCUUGGUGCUAGAAGAUACCUCAUACUCUAAGGAAAGAGAAAAAUAAUUACUACUAUCACAGAGAUAUAUAACCUGUGGCCUGAGCAAGCAACCUUUCUGUAAGAUAUAGUGAAAUACUAAUUGUAUAAAUAUUUCAGGAACAACAAGUCAAUCUUUGAUUAGAUUUAAGACUCACUCCAUGGCAUGGAGUCUAUCUCUGGCACAGCUGGAGUGGCCAAGACUAGAUAAGGUACUAAGGGACAAUUGCUAUGAAUACUCUGUCAAAGAAAUGUAUGAAAGAAAUAUACCAUAGGUGAGAAAAUCAGGUAAAUUUUAUCAGAAAAGGGUCUUCUUGCAGUAGAUAAUAAUUAACAAAGACCUACAAUUGGACAAUUCGAAGAAAGUGAGACUUUUGAACACUCAGACCUAAUUGGGAUGUCUUUAUCAAAAUCUUCCAUUCAACAAUUAGGUGUUUAUGAAUAGGAGGCCACAAAAAGAUUGUAGAAGCCAAGGAUGAUGGGUGAUUCCAAAAUUCUAGCAAAUUAUAGACACAAUUCUGAAAUGUAUACGAAUUCAGAAAAAGUAGCCAUGCAUACAAGAACUAUAAACACAGGUUGAAAUCAAACAAAUUCCCAGCAACGGAAAUGGAAAAUAAAUACAGGAAGCCAGGACUAACCAAGAAGCUCCCUGCAGUAGAUAUCUUCUAUAAUGGGAAAAUCAGUUUUCUCUUGUGGAGCUUAACUGUGUGUAUCAAAAUCUCUCCAGGGCUCCCAGCAGUAUCUCAAGUACUCAGGGUAUUGGGCGAGGGAGUGUCUUACCACCUGCUCUGAGUGCAGCAGGUCCUCUGGGAUGAAUCAGGAUAUGGAGUCUUCAGGAGGACAGACCAACUAGGGGUCUGCCACAGCAGCAUAAUCUGGACCCCCGAGAUCUUUCAAACACUUGUCCACCAACUGGACAGCAUACACCAGCUGAUAUGAGGCCCCCAACACACAUAUGGUAGAGGACUUCCGGGUCUGUGUUCAUUCAGAGAUGAUGCACCUAACCCUUAAGAGACUGGAGAUUCCAGGGAGUUUAGAGGUCAGUGGAGUGGGGGAUGGGAGCAUCCACUUGGAGACAGGAUGGGGUGGGAAGGAGGUGUGGGAUGUGGAGCAGUCAGAGGGUGGAUCAGGGGGGCAGGAAAUGGAAUGUAAAAAAAAUGAAUAACAAAUAAAGUUAAAUUUAAAAAAUAGUAUUCAUAAACAAUAUAAGUUAAUAUGGAAAUUGGCUUAUACUAUAAAGGAAAAAACAAGCAAAAUUGCAUCAAAUGUAAGAAUUGUGUGCUAAUAUAAGCAAUACAAUAUCUCUUGCAAUAAACUUGUGCUGCUCUUAUUUUUUUAACAUAUAUUAAAAUCAAAUCUUUGGG
rnacentral:lncRNA from 1 species